rnacentral:tRNA from 1 species
UGGCAUAGUAGUUAAGCACUAGGCUGUUAACCAAGAGGUCGGCAGUUCGAAUCCGCC